rnacentral:sRNA from 15 species
GGUUUUAACCCAAGUUAACCAAGGUUAGCAUGGAAUUCGAUCUUUCGAAAGAAUGUGUCGAACACAAAAAUUUUUGGAACAGCUUCCUCGGGGUUUCCGUGGAGGCAAA